UACGGGGGGAGCAAGCGUUGUCCGGAAUUAUUGGGCGUAAAGAGCUCGUAGGCGGUCUGUUGCGUCCGCUGUGAAAACUCGGGGCUUAACCCCGAGCCUGCAGUGGAUACGGGCAGACUAGAGGUAGGUAGGGGAGAAUGGAAUUCCCGGUGUAGCGGUGAAAUGCGCAGAUAUCGGGAGGAACACCGGUGGCGAAGGCGGUUCUCUGGGCCUUACCUGACGCUGAGGAGCGAAAGCGUGGGGAGCGAACAGG
rnacentral:rRNA from 1 species